CCUACGGGAGGCAGCAGUGGGGAAUAUUGCACAAUGGGGGAAACCCUGAUGCAGCGACGCCGCGUGAGUGAAGAAGUAUUUCGGUAUGUAAAGCUCUAUCAGCAGGGAAGAAAAUGACGGUACCUGACGAAGAAGCCCCGGCGAACUACGUGCCAGCAGCCGCGGUAAUACGUAGGGGGCAAGCGUUAUCCGGAUUUACUGGGUGUAAAGGGGGCGUAGACGGCGAUGCAAGCCAGAAGUGAAAGCCCGGGGCCCAACCCCGGGACUGCUGUGGAAACUGCUUGGCUGGAGUGCAGGAGGGGUAAGCGGAAUUCCUGGUGUAGCGGUGAAAUGCGUAGAUAUUAGGAGGAACACCAGUGGCGAAGGCGGCUUACUGGACUGUAACUGACGUUGAGGCUCGAAAGCGUGGGGAGCAAACAGGAUUAGAUACCCGAGUAGUC
rnacentral:rRNA from 1 species